UACAGAGGUCUCAAGCGUUGUUCGGAUUCAUUGGGCGUAAAGGGUGCGUAGGUGGCGCCGUAAGUCAGGUGUGAAAUUUCGGAGCUUAACUCCGAAGCUGCAUUUGAUACUGCGGUGCUUGAGGACUGGAGAGGAGACUGGAAUUCACGGUGUAGCAGUGAAAUGCGUAGAGAUCGUGAGGAAGACCAGUGGCGAAGGCGGGUCUCUGGACAGUUCCUGACGCUGAGGCACGAAGGCCAGGGGAGCAAACAGG
rnacentral:rRNA from 1 species